AAAAAGAGGCGACUGCGCGGCGAGGGGUCCCCGUACCCCUAAUCCCGCGUGGUGGCUUGCCUCGGUCCUCUCCUUCCCUGGCCCACCUGCGCUGCUCGGGGAGCUGAGGUCUACGCGGUCCCGCUGCGGAGCAGGCGGGGUGAGGAGCUGCGGUCUGUGAGUCCUCUCCCGCCAAUGGGUGGACCGCGCUGGCGGCCGCGAGCUCGCGGAGCUGAGUGUGAAGCAUGGAACAAAGUGCUUAUUGAGCCAGAAAAUACUGCCCAACCAGCUCUCAAGGCAAAGAGAGGGUGUACGAGAAGCUAAUCUUCAAAUGAGAGGUGGAGACCCAGCUGGCAGCUAGCAUGGUGCGGCGUGUUGGAGGCAAGAAGCAGAAUCUCAGACUGGCAAGAUGCAAGGGCAGGCAGCCCACCCACAGGGAAGGCGUCGCCAAUCUUGAGCAACUCUAGAAGAGAAACCUGAACACAUCAGAACUCAAACUAACUGAUAAUGAACUGGUUUUCAUUACUUCCUGAGUGAUCAGGAGGUAGAAUUGUCUCUUACAACCCAAUGUAUACCAUUCUCAGUUGUCUAUUUAAGGAUUUCUUAGUGAGCUCCAUGGUAAAAUAUAUCUACUUCUUAAAAAAAAAAAAGUAAAGAAUCUGCAACAACCUACUGAACUACUAAGUGGAUUUAGCAAGGCUGCAGGUUACAAAGUCAAUAUACUUAUAUUUCUUAUAUACUAGCCACGAACAAUUAAAACAUUUUAUAAGUUUAUUUAUAACAACAUCAAACACACAAAAUACUUGGGAAUAAAUUAAAAUACAGAUACACUGAAAGCUACAAAAUAUUGCAGAGAAAAACAAAAGAAGGCCCCAAUACUAGAAAAGACAUACAAUGUUCAUACAUCUGGAUGAAGUUUGAAAAAUACUAAUCUAAGUUAAUCUUCUUAUAGAUUAAGAGAAUAAGAUAUAGCGCUUUUAAAUGACUUGCCCAUCACUCAACUCAGCGAGGACAGGACUAGAGGUUUAAAGGAAGUGGGUAGAGGUGUAAAGGACGUGGGGAGAGUUUAGGUAUCCCUUGUAAGAAAGCAGAAACACAGGAAAGCAUUGCAGAGUGAUACUGAGGCCCAGCUGAGGUCAGAGGUUGUGGAUUUCUCAUAGCACCAGCGAGCUUGGCCAAGGGAUUUUCUCCAGUGGCAUCCAAGAGAGCAGAGAAGUUGAGUUUAGUAUUAAGCUGAAGUUUAGGGUCUCUAAAGAUGGGAACAGCAAAAUGAUAAGCCUGCUGGGAUGUUGAAGGCACAGCGGGAGAGUUGUUAGUGAUUCAUCUGAAGGGACAGGUUUGCUCUGAUAAAGAAUGAGGCCUUGAGGAGGGUUAGAAGGACUUGAGCUCCUGAUAGGGCCAAAGAGAAGGCAUGGAGAAGAAAGAGGAUGGGAAAACCAAAGCGAUCAACUAUUGUGGUCAGUGCUUCGUCUAAUAAAGAAUCCAUUAUUAUAACUGCUGUAUUUCCUAAAGCAAGAUUUUUGACGAUGACUAAAAUUUUAAAGGAUUUGAUGCAUAAUUCUAUCUACUUGAAGAAUAUAAUAAGAGCAAUCCUUUCUUUCUAUUCUAGUUAAUAGAUUUUUUUUUUUUUUUGCAAUGUAUGUUAAGUGGACCCAACUCAGAAGUACAAUGGCCGAGGCGGGCGGAUCACGAGGUCAGGAGAUCGAGACCAUCCCGGCUAAAACGGUGAAACCCCGUCUCUACUAAAAAUACAAAAAAUUAGCCGGGCGUAGUGGCGGGCGCCUGUAGUCCCAGCUACUUGGGAGGCUGAGGCAGGAGAAUGGCGUGACCCCGGGAGGCGGAGCUUGCAGUGAGCCGAGAUCCCGCCACUGCACUCCAGCCUGGGCGACAGAGCGAGACUCCGUCUCAAAAAAAAAAGAAGUACAAUGGAUAGGGGCUAAAAUCACAAGACCUGAAGUUAUGCUAUCUGGAGCUGUAUUUUUUAAUAAAUACUCACCUCUUGUUACUUAGAUCUCUUACUUGUAAAUGGGUGUAAUGAUGGUACCUGCCUCAUAGGGUUACUGUGAAGUUCAAAUGAGUUAACACCAUUAAUGAUACCAGGCUUUGCAAUGUGUUUGAUUUAGAUGCUAAAGACUAUUUAUUGGUUCCAUAUUUCAAUAAUUCACUGAGGAGAAAAGUGAGGGAGGUAAACAUAGAAUCUGUGAAAUCAAAAUGCCUUUCUAGAGCAAGACAAUCAGGUUUCUAUAGUGAAACAAGACUCUUAAAAAUAUGCUUACACCAAGCACAGUGGCUCAUCCCUGUAAUCCCAGCAAUUUGGGAGGCGGAGCAGGAGGAUCACUUGAGCCCGGGAAUUCGAUACCAGCCUGAGUAACAUAGUGACACCCCAUCACUACAAAAAAAUAAAAAAAUUAGCCAAGUGUGGUUGUGUAUGCCUGUGGUCCCAGCUACUCAGAAGGCUGGGUUGGAAAGAUUGCUUGAGUCUGGGAGGUCCAGGCUGUAGUAAGCUGUGGUUGUGCCAAUGCACUCCAGCCUAGGUGACAGAGAGAGAUUCUGUCUCAAAAAGAUAAAAUAUAUAUGCUUGGGCAUUUUUUUUAACCCUCAGACUUCAUUUCAAGGUUGAAAUUGCUUGAUACAAAUGUAACAGACGUUGUAGUUAAGCUCCCAUGUUUCUUGUACUCCCGAAUUCUUUCUGAUAAACCUGGCAUGAGAUUAGCUGGAGUCUGACUGACAUGUGAUUCUUGGGAACACAGGAUUCCUUGAUAUAUAAAAGACCCUUAGAUCAAUGGGUAGUUCUUAAUAUAUGCCUGCUAUUAUUAUUCUUAUCUGACUUAUACAUGUUCCCUUAUCAGCAAUGAGAGAUUGUUUAUACAAAGAGGGAAGAGGGGUACUUUGGUUUCUUUAUUCUGUGUCUUUAUUAUUGAAUACUAAUGCAUACUGAAAAUAUUUAAAUAAAAAAUACAGUGUUUGCCUUCAAGAAGUUUUAAUUUAGCUGGACAAUUACGUGCAGUAAUGAACAUAUUUCCUACAUGUUUUCAGAAAUGGAAGGCAGGGAGAAAGACACGAAGAGAGCAACGGAUGAGAAAUGAAUGCAAAAAUUAGAGGGAGACCCCUACUCCUGUCCCCUAAUUUGCAGUGAGGGUGGAGGGACCCAGAAAGGAAAAUCCCAGGAUAGGGAAUCCGUAUUCAAGACUGUGCAUCCUUUUCCUAGGUCUGUCUCUAAGGCAUGAAUAAAUUGAAUGUACGCAUUGAAUCUAUUUCUGUCACAUUUGGGGCCACAACAUAUGGAGAGUUGGCUUGUUUUUCUAACUUAACUGACUUUGUUUAAAGACCCUUGCUCAGAGGAGAGUUCUCAAUCAAAGUAGCCAUACUCCAUUCCCCAUGGGAGGCCAUCCAACCCUGGGCCUGAACUUUGAACAUGGCACCAGUUGGCAAAAGGCUCUGCGAAUCUACCCCUUUGUUUUUAAGACAGUGCCUGGGUGUUUGGUCCAGCAUGGGUGGGUAACUUAGGGGGUCUUCACAAUUUUACUACACAUCUUGAAUGGCAUAAGGCAGGGCAACCUUUCCAGCUGAAGUGUCAUAACAUAGAAGUGGAUUGUGGUGACCACAAUUAAUGUAUUAGAAAUAAUAGGUAGAUAAACAAUGUUGGCAAGUUAUUUUCUUGAAGAUAUAUUACAGUAUUCAGUGGGUACAGAGUUUCAGCUUUGCAAGGUGAAAAGAGUUCUGGAGAUGGAUCAUGGUGAUGGUUGCACAAUAAUGUGAAUGCACUUCAUA
rnacentral:lncRNA from 1 species